rnacentral:rRNA from 1 species
UACGGAGGGAGCUAGCGUUAUUCGGAAUUACUGGGCGUAAAGCGUACGUAGGCGGCUUUGCAAGUUAGAGGUGAAAGCCUGGAGCUCAACUCCAGAACUGCCUUUAAAACUGCAUCGCUUGAAUCCAGGAGAGGUGAGUGGAAUUCCGAGUGUAGAGGUGAAAUUCGUAGAUAUUCGGAAGAACACCAGUGGCGAAGGCGACUGACUGGACAAGUAUUGACGCUGAGGUGCGAAAGCGUGGGGAGCAAACAGG